rnacentral:rRNA from 1 species
GCUCCUACCGAUUGGAUGACUCGGUGAAAUUGCUGGACCUUGCGAGGGAAGGCAAUUAAAUCACGUUAUCUAGAGGAAGGAGAAGUCGUAACAAGGUAUCG